AGUAGCUCAGGUGGUUAGAGCAGCGGAAUCAUAAUCCGCGUGUCGGGGGUUCAAGUCCCUCCU
rfam:Rhizobiales bacterium TMED29 68244, whole genome shotgun sequence.